rnacentral:tRNA from 1 species
GCAAUGGUGGUUUAGUGGUAGAAUUCUCGCCUUCCACGCAGGAGACCUGGGUUCCAUUUCUGGCCAAGGCA